rnacentral:lncRNA from 1 species
AGCAAGGCAGCCACUCAACCAUUUUCUUUUUUUCAAUCACCCAAAAAUCAUACUAAAAACCUACAAAGUGUUGAGUUGUUAGAAGCUUUAGGAGUAAAUUUGGAGCUACACCUCAACAUCUAACCUUCAUCCAUCCACUUUUAAGGAGUUUUUAGCUUGGUAUGGUCGGGAAUUAUUUUGGACAUUUGGUUUUGCUAGCAUACGCACGGAACGCCAUUUUUGGAUAAGAUUGGUGUCAACCAAUACUGAUAUCGAAAAUACAGGUAAGGUCCGGUUCAUUAUCGGUACAUGAAGGUAAAAACAGGCACUAGCCUGAUACAGAAAACGACAAAAGUCGGUACCGGAUUGAGUUUGAAAAUCUUUUAGUUCGGGAAAUUCGGUACUGCUACACGGUACCAUUUGCUCAUCCCUGAUCACGGGUGCCGUACAAACAACAACGGUAUCGUACAACUUUUUCUU